AUUGAACGCUGGCGGCAGGCCUAACACAUGCAAGUCGAGCGGAUGAAGGGGGCUUGCUCCUGGAUGCAGCGGCGGACGGGUGAGUAAUGCCUAGGAAUCUGCCUGGUAUUGGGGGAUAACGUCCGGAAACGGGCGCUAAUACCGCAUACGUCCUGAUGGAGAAAGGGGGGGAUCUUCGGACCUCACGCUAUCAGAUGAGCCUAGGUCGGAUUAGCUAGUUGGUGGGGUAAAGGCCUACCAAGGCGACGAUCCGUAACUGGUCUGAGAGGAUGAUCAGUCACACUGGAACUGAGACACGGUCCAGACUCCUACGGGAGGCAGCAGUGGGGAAUAUUGGACAAUGGGCGAAAGCCUGAUCCAGCAAUGCCGCGUGUGUGAAGAAGGUCUUCGGAUUGUAAAGCACUUUAAGUUGGGAGGAAGGGCAGUAAGUUAAUACCUUGCUGUUUUGACGUUACCAACAGAAUAAGCACCGGCUAACUUCGUG
rnacentral:rRNA from 1 species